GCAGCGGCUCCUUUCCUCGCCGCCGCCGCCGCCUCCUGGCCUCCAGGGGAGAGGAUCGUGCCCAGAAGUGCUGAUGGUGGGAGUCAGGUUCUGUGCCUCUCGGGACUUGGGGGUCCGACUCAUACCCUCACUUGUUUAUUUAUCAAAUGUAGAUCGAGCCUACGUGCCCAAGCACGGGCUAGACAAUGGGGAGGGAAACGGGCAGUGAUUAAAAAAUGAACAAGGUCCUGCCAAGAGGAGUUCACAGUCUAGCGUGCCAGGCGGACCAGACUGGCUGAGGUGAUAUGUGAGCUGUGUGAACACGUGCUACAGGGGGCCUCAGCAAGCAUCCUGACCUGCAUACACAGCUGUGUGCACAUAUCCCAGUCUGAACAACUGUAUGUUGCACGAACUCUCCAAAUCCUGGAACACAAGCAACACCAGGACAGGAUUCAACCGAU